GAUGAACGCUGGCGGCGUGCUUAACACAUGCAAGUCGAACGGUGAAGCCCAGCUUGCUGGGUGGAUCAGUGGCGAACGGGUGAGUAACACGUGAGCAACCUGCCCCGGACUCUGGGAUAAGCGCUGGAAACGGCGUCUAAUACUGGAUACGAACCACGAAGGCAUCUUCAGUGGUUGGAAAGAUUUUUUGGUCUGGGAUGGGCUCGCGGCCUAUCAGCUAGUUGGUGAGGUAAUGGCUCACCAAGGCGUCGACGGGUAGCCGGCCUGAGAGGGUGACCGGCCACACUGGGACUGAGACACGGCCCAGACUCCUACGGGAGGCAGCAGUGGGGAAUAUUGCACAAUGGGCGCAAGCCUGAUGCAGCAACGCCGCGUGAGGGAUGACGGCCUUCGGGUUGUAAACCUCUUUUAGCAAGGAAGGAGCGAAAGUGACGGUACUUGCAGAAAAAGCGCCGGCUAACUACGUGCCAGCAGCCGCAGUAAUAC
rnacentral:rRNA from 1 species